rnacentral:rRNA from 1 species
AGAGAGAGACAUGCGCGCAUAUCAAUAAGCGGAGGAAAAGAAACUAACUAAGGAUUCCCCUCAGUAACGGCGAGUGAAGCGGGAAGAGCUCAAAUUUGAAAUCUUAAAGGGUUUCCCUUUACGAAUUGUAGUUUAAAGAAGUGUUUUCUGUUGGAGUUUUGGUAAAAGUUCUUUGGAAUAGGACAUCAUAGAGGGUGAGAAUCCCGUAUUUGACCAUUAUUUCCAGCUUUGUGAUACACUUUCAGAGAGUCGGAUUGUUUGGGAAUGCAGUCCAAAAUGGGUGGUAAAUUUCAUCUAAAGCUAAAUAUUGGCGAGAGACCGAUAGCGAACAAGUACCGUGAGGGAAAGAUGAAAAGAACUUUGAAAAGAGAGUUAAACAGUACGUGAAAUUGUCAAAAGGGAAGCGUUUGACACCAGUGUUGUUUUCUCGAAAAUCAAUUAAAAAGAGUUAGAUUUUGUUGUGUAUUGACCUUAACAGCUUGCAUUUCAAUUUUCUUGCUGUUUUUAAUGCACUUUUCGUUUAACAAGUCAACAUCAGUUUCUUUUGUUGUAAAAGGGUCAUUGGAAGGUGGCUUUCUUUUCGGAGAAAGUGUUUAUAGCCUUUGGCCUCUGCAAUCGGAGAGAUUGAGGUCUGCAGCGUAGAUCCUUCGGGGUUAGAUACAUUUGUGCUAAGUUAUAGCCUUUCAUAGACAACUUGUUGACUAUGAUCAGUCAUGUAGCUUACUCGCUUAUGCUAUUUUACCUACGCUUAGGAUGUUGAUGUGAUACUGCGAGCA